rnacentral:lncRNA from 1 species
AAAAAAAGAAAAGGGAGAUGUCAUAAUGGCAUAUCCUAUGGAAGAUGCUCAAACUAGUCAGCCCCCUUCAAUUGCCACAAAAGAAAAAAAAUUGAAGCCCUAUAUCAACCCAUACAAAGCUUCAAUAUCAAACCCUCUUAAUAAUUCAGCACCAUCAUGGCCACCCUUGCCAAUCGCUUCAACUAGACAAGGGUGGCCAAUGGUACGUAGCUUUUUCUUUCAUAGGGCUAUUUUUUUUUCGUAAAAGACGUUUUGAAAGUUGAAACUAUUCAACCCUUUCUCUUAAUAGGGCAACUUCGAUCCUUUGGCAUUUUGGCUUCCUCGCCUAGCAUCUCUCUUCACUUCAUUACAUAUAUAUAUAUGAUUUCUGAGGCUCGAGGGCAACUCAUAGUAUAUGUUAUAUUUCCAAGUAUUUUCUUGUUUAUCUUUAUAAUUUGGUGGUUUGUUUAGUUAGUAUUUUGUAAGCCAGUGACCAAAGUUUCAGUGUGCUGCAGUCUUGUUGUAGUAGCUUAUCUUUUGUAUUUGAUCUUCCUACUAAUAUUAAUUUUAUGUCGUAGUUAAAAUUAUUGGAGUUGUUUGGUUGAUGUGAUUUUCUUUUUUAAAACUUGAAAAGAGAACUCAAAAGGUGAAAUUGGUUAAAUUUUGUUAUUAAUUUUUAUAUUAUGCAGAAAUUAUAGAUUUAAUUUUUAUAUUUUUUUUGUUUUUUAAAUUUCACCAAUGGAAUUUAUUAAAUUUAUUAAGAUUUUCUAUUUCAAAAUCUUAUGAGCUUGCUAUUUCAUAUUGCUUAUAAAAAAAAACUAGUUAUUGAGUUGACAUUUUUCAUUUGCGAUCAGACAAGAAUUUUGAAAUUCGAUAAAUAUAAGUGUUGAAACCCUUUUGAAAACGAAAAGUUGGGAGUCGCCACCAAUAGUUUUUAAUAGGGUGUGAUUGGAUCACCUCAAAACACGGUCGUUUUUAAUAAAUAAAUAAAUUUUUCAAAACAACGAUUUUGGUCUGUGAAAAUAGAAAACCGGUUCAAGAGUCAGUUACGUACGAGGAAGGAUUAGCACCCUCGACACGCCCAAAAUUGGUACUUGAUUAAUUAUUUAGUGUCUUAAUGUCGAAAAUUAAAGAUUUGGACAGAGUUCAAAACGCGAUCCUCUUUUUAUUGGCUUUUAAAACAUUUAGGUGGGUCAAAUGUGUAUUAAAGACCAUCUCACCUUGAGGUAAAAUAUUACAUCCAAUACGUUAGGACACAAUAUUUUUGACCCUCAAAUGUGAUAUUGUCUUUAAAACGUGCGUUUUUAACUUUAAAAGGAUAUUCGAAUAUUUAAAACAGACAAAGAAAGCGAAACCCAGUACGUUAGGACACGAUCCUUUGAAUUCUUUAAAUACCGAACAUUGCCUUGUUUAAAGUUUCAAAUGAAAUGGAAUAAAUAAAUUAAAUGUAUUUAUUUAAGAAAACUUGGUAACAUAAGGAAUAAAACACGCAGCAAUAACAUCUCAUGAAUAAUCUAAAUAGGGACAUGCAAAGGAACAACUUAGAAUACAUGCAAUAACAGCACAUCAUAUAUUAUGAAAGUACCACCAUUUAUAUCCCAGGGUUUAUGAAUAAGAAAUCAAUUUUAAAAGAAAUCUCAAAUAAAUCACACAAAUAAAAUAUAAUAAGGUUUUUUAAAAUAAAAUAAAAUAAAUAAUAGGAAAAAGAAAAUUUGGAAAUAUAAUUAUAUAAACUAUAAGAAAAU